UACGUAGGGAGCAAGCGUUGUCCGGAAUCAUUGGGCGUAAAGAGCGCGUAGGUGGCUUUAUAAGUCCGUUGUGAAAGUCAAAGGCUCAACCUUUGAAAGCCGAUGGAUACUGUGAAGCUAGAGUACGGAAGAGGCGAGUGGAAUUCCUGGUGUAGCGGUGGAAUGCGCAGAUAUCAGGAGGAACACCAAUAGCGAAGGCAGCUCGCUGGGACGUUACUGACACUGAGGCGCGAAAGCGUGGGGGAGCGAACAGG
rnacentral:rRNA from 1 species